CAUCAGUCACUCAUUUUUGUGUUAGAUUAAAUUUUUAAUUAGGUACAUUGUUUCAGGUACGAUCGAGCAAACAUCGCAAACAACAUGCUUUACCUUCAUCACUUCAAUUUGAAAUAUUUAUAAUUCAGGUUGGCGCAGCUAUGAUGUCCUGUCCUCUUCCACUGCCGCUGCUGCCGGCAUUGCAUCCGCAACCAGCGUUAGCAUCAGACUUUCCUAUUCAUAUUGGAAUAAAGGACCCGCUAUUAUCCUGAACUGCGCUCGAAGACAAUAAAAAGAAACUUUGAUAGUAUAGUGUAAAUAAAAUUAAAGUGCCUAAAGUACGUAUAAGGGUGUCGGUCGGACGUGGCGUCUCCUACGCGACAGACGGCCGCAUUUCGUGAAAUGGUCAAGGUAAGCUGGAGUUUUAUUUGUACAGGUAAUGAAUGUGGGGGCUAUUUAAAUAUUGCGUACUAUUAACAGUGUAAAUAUUUCAUUGCAACGGCAACGGAACGAAAGUUUUCAUGUUGGACUACGCGAGUUCGUGUUACGCCUUUGAUUCGGUUGAAAAUAUAACUUUUCUAGGUUAUGUACAGUUGGCUUUUUUAUCAUUGUAAUUUUAAGUACUUAUAGAAAUAUAGGAUAUAUAUAUUAUAAAAGAUAGAUACUUUUUGGUUUUAUAGCAGGUACCUAUUAUUCUCAAGGAUUUUGACAAAAAAAAUGUGUCUGAUAUAAUACCUUACGAUCAACUGCACACUUGACACGGUAUUUUAAGUAGGUACUUAUGGGACUACUAUCUGUUUUCUCUCUAGGUAGAGUUGAGCUUUAAAAAUGUGGUAUGAAAAAAUGUUCUAAACCGUCUGUUUAGCAAAAGUGCAGCACAAAUCACAUAUUUCCCGUAAUUACUAGCCCAUCUAAUUAAAUAUUAGCUGCACCAAUAAAUUAUUCUUUGAAAAUUAGCUCAUUGAAUAGACCGAACGGUUGCGUACGGUAUGUACGAUAAAUAAUUAACCAAUUUUAGUUUUCGCUUAAUCGGCUUUUUAGAAAACUCAUUUGACUGGCAAAUUGUUUUACGUGUCCAAGCUAAAUGAAUAUUCACCGGUAAUGUGCGGCCGGACGCCAUUUUAUUAUCCGGCCUGCUGUUUUUUUAGGUAACCACAAAACAAACAAAUACAUUUAUAGCUUUUAGAACUGUUGAUGCUCAUUUGUUUUGGAGAUUGUCUGCUUUUGGUCGAGAGCUUUAUUUGUAGAAUAUUAGUCCUAUUUUAUUUUUAUAAGAAAGUAAAAACAUAUUUUAUUAUGAAGUCAGUUCAUUUUGCUUUUAACGAAAUUUUUUGCACCCUGUUAGCCAAAGAACUGUUUCAAAAAUAAUUAGUAGACCUAAGUACAUACGUACACUCAAUCAAAUUGAACUUCGACCAAACCUAAGCCACACCUCAUUCUAAUCUCAACUGCUAAAUGAUACACAAACAACCGCAAACCGGAAAGUGUACCAUUUACUGUAGAGUGGACCUUAUAAUAUCCUGGGACCGUUUCUGCUGUUCACUGGAAAAUCGACCUUAUGUCAAGUAGAAAAUCAGCCUUAUAUCCGCAGCCUGAUACUACGCAAUCCUCAAGCGAGACUACUGGCGCUGUAAGAGCGAGAUGUUGCUAUGACGCAUGUAGCGGCAUCUCUUUUCCACAACGAUAACAGGACUGCUUUAAGAGAUCGUGGUACAGGUACAUAGGUUUCUCAUAGGCUUAUGUCCGCAGACAUCUACGGCAUUAUUUACAGGCCGAGACCUGUGGUAGCACACAGGAAUAGAUGCUUCUAGUUUAUCUCAAGGCAGCUAUUUUAUACUGGCUAACCAUUGUAUUACUUUUUUUUUCGAUUUUAUGAAGUGAGAAAAAAAUUUACGCUGUAAAGCCAUGGUCGUUUUUCUUCUUUGUUUUAAAUUAAUAUUUAGAUAUUAGAUUUUACUUACAGAAAUAACAGUUCAUGAUACGGGCCCAUACUAUACAUGAUAAAUGCUAUAAAAAAUACUACUAUUUCAUACUAAAGAUAAAUGCAUCAAUUAAUUUAAAAAAUCUAGCUUGUAAAUGUGUUAAGUGUUUUUUAUUU